GUGGCUGUGGCUUAGUGGUAGAGUGCUUGCCUAGCAUGUGUGAGGCACUGGGUUCAAUCCUCAGCACCACA
rnacentral:tRNA from 1 species